GAUGAACGCUGGCGGCGUGCCUAAUACAUGCAAGUCGAGCGAACGGACGAGAAGCUUGCUUCUCUGAUGUUAGCGGCGGACGGGUGAGUAACACGUGGAUAACCUACCUAUAAGACUGGGAUAACUUCGGGAAACCGGAGCUAAUACCGGAUAAUAUUUUGAACCGCAUGGUUCAAAAGUGAAAGACGGUCUUGCUGUCACUUAUAGAUGGAUCCGCGCUGCAUUAGCUAGUUGGUAAGGUAACGGCUUACCAAGGCAACGAUGCAUAGCCGACCUGAGAGGGUGAUCGGCCACACUGGAACUGGAACACGGUCCAGACGCCUACGGGAGGCAGCAGUAGGGAAUCUUCCGCAAUGGGCGAAAGCCUGACGGAGCAACGCCGCGUGAGUGAUGAAGGUCUUCGGAUCGUAAAACUCUGUUAUUAGGGAAGAACAUAUGUGUAAGUAACUGUGCACAGCUUGACGGUACCUAAUCAGAAAGCCACGGCUAACUACGUG
rnacentral:rRNA from 1 species